rnacentral:rRNA from 1 species
GCUCCAGACUCCUACGGGAGGCAGCAGUGGGGGAUAUUGCACAAUGGGGGAAACCCUGAUGCAGCGACGCCGCGUGAGUGAAGAAGUAUUUCGGUAUGUAAAGCUCUAUCAGCAGGGAAGAAAAUGACAGUACCUGACCAAGAAGCCCUGGCUAACUACGUGCCAGCAGCCGCGGUAAUACGUAGGGGGCAAGCGUUAUCCGGAUUCACUGGGUGUAAAGGGAGCGUAGACGGCCAUGCAAGCCUGGAGUGAAAGCCCGGGGCCCAACCCCGGGACUGCUCUGGGAACUGUGCGGCUGGAGUGCGGGAGGGGCAGGCGGAAUUCCUGGUGUAGCGGUGAAAUGCGUAGAUAUUGGGAGGAACACCAGUGGCGAAGGCGGCUUACUGGACUGUAACUGACGUUGAGGCUCGAAAGCGUGGGGAGCAAACAGGAUUAGAUACCCGCGUACU